GGACGACGCUCCAGCCAACUGAGCCGUAUGGCCAGGGCUGUUUGUGUUUUUGUUUGUUUGUUUGAAGUAUAAAAACUCCACCCCCUUUUGCAAAUCAGAAUCUUUGUUUUUAAUCAGACAGUUGAAACGAGGGCAGUUAAUAGUUGAAGCUCUUGGUUUGCUUACCUGAAAAUCUCUCAGUUGUGUCAAGCACCAUGUGACCUGCUGCCUCUGGGACUUUGUGUUCCUUUUAGCAGAAGGAGCCUGGGAGAGACCCGGCCUCCCGGCGCUGUUGGCCUGCUUCUCCUGGGGUCCCUGGAGCCGGGGGAAGAACCCGUUUGCCACCACCUCCCCCAGUGGUCCAGCUCAGGGGAACUUCCGGGAACCUGAGGAGGAGCUGGCGCUGACAGUCAUACUUCCCAACGGAGACUGUGAGGAUCCUGGAAAGGGGUCGGGAGCCUGUGACGGAGCUGCCCACACUCCCGCUGAGCCCGCUGGAGACUCCAGAUGAAGUCUGGACCCCUGGGCUGCUGCAGCUCCUCACUGAUGACCGUGGGAGUGCAGUCUCUGCCACACUGACAGAUACCAGCCAGGCAGCGGGACUUCCUCAGCUAAGCCCGACCUAGGAAAAUGUGUCCUCUGGGAACGUGGUCCCUCCCCCGCCUCCAAUUUGGUCACUCUGGUCACAGUGAGGUUGUUUUUCUCCCUCGCCUUGGUUUCUCUGUGCCAUUGAGACAGAAGGCAGCCUGCUUUGCGGCUCUGUGGUGCUGUGGCAUCCCGUGGUCGUGUGCAUGAGCAUCCAUCACUUCACAUGCAGCUGGAAAGAACUCUGGACCAGGAGUUAUCAAACAGGGAGAGGGGAGAUCUUAGACCUGUCACUCAACCAGGGGCCAGGCUACCCACCUGCAAGCAGCACUGGAAGUGUGUGUGUGUGUGUGUGUGUGUGUGUGUGUGUGUGGCGAGGCUUCACUCUGACUGUGGGGCGCCCCUGGCAUUUAGUGGGCAUCUCGCGUUGUGUAGGGCAAGCUCCAAAAACAGAAUUGUUCUGCUCAAAAUGCCAAUCGUGGCACCUUUGAGAAAUUGGAUGAGCCAAUCUCUUCCCCUUGUCAAAUUCUAGGAAGAGUCCCCAGAGCAGAGAGGGUUGGGGUUCCUGGGACCUCAGCUCCUGAACAAGCCAGAAUAAAGACUGCACUGCCCCCUGGGGGCUUGGGCGCCAGAGCGAGAUGCUCAGUGUGCUGCUGGCCCAGGACAGAAAUAGCCUUGCACAGCCAUGCGAAGAAAGAGCCCUCUUUCUUCCUCAUGUUGCCAUUGACUUUCUGUGCCAAGUUGUUUUGAGAAUAGGGCACCAAACAGAAGGAAAGUUGGGUUAUGGAUUAAUGCAAGGGUAUAGGACUUGCUCUCAAUCUCAGGUCCUAACCCAAGGACAAAGCCGACCCAGCCCAGAGGUGCCGAGUGCCGGAAUCCUUUUUUCUCUGGUUAUGAGUCAGACAGGGCCAAUGAUGUUCCCUUAAAAGCCAGGAAGACCACCUGUUCACGCAGAAAAGGAACUCUGCAUUACCUCCCUUGUCUUCCUUGCCCGCCAGGAGAAAUCCAGCUUUGGAAUAGCAAGGACAGCUCCUGCUUUUCCCUGGUAGGAAGUACUAUCUAAGGGAAGAAGUUAAAUUCAUUCAUUCAUGCGUGACUCACUCAGCACACAUGCAAUUGUGCCUACUAUUUGCCCAGCAUUCUGGCAGGUGCUGCAUAACUUCCUUGAGUUAUUUCUGCCAAAAUAACCGUGAAAGUGCCAAAAUGUGGAGUGGCAAACCUGUGGCUGGGGGGCUCUGUGAUGUUAAAGAGGACCCUCGCUGCUCUGCGCCCCCGUUUCUUUUCUACAACAGGGAGCCUAUGGGUGUGAGGGCAGGUAGGAUGACAGCUUAUUUGGGGCGGUUUGGCAGCAUGUGUCACUUUAAUAAUGCAAAAGUAUUUCUCCAAUAGAAGGACCCAAUUGACUGCCUUCUGUCCAAGAGUGAACUCAAUGAAUUGCUGUUGAUGUUUGAAAAUCUGGGGACUGGUAUUGUUGAAGCUGCUCUAUUUUUCUAUUUAUCCGUUAAUUUCUUUGUAAUGAUUUGGUUAGACUUUUAUUAUUUGGUCGGGGGAGGGAGCUUCUCUUAAGGUAGAAAAUUGUCUAAGGCAGAAGUCGAAAGGCAGAAGCCUCUGCUGUACUUCAAAACUCAGGAGUUUGUUGCCAAUAUUUGAAACUUGGGAGAUUGCAC